GAUGAACGCUAGCGGCAGGCUUAAUACAUGCAAGUCGUGGGGCAGCAUGAGUAGCAAUACUUGAUGGCGACCGGCAAACGGGUGAGGAACACGUACACAACCUUCCUUCAAGCGGGGAAUAGCCCAGAGAAAUUUGGAUUAAUACCCCAUAAUAUAUUUGAUAAGGCAUCUUAUUAAAUAUUAAAGCUUCGGCACUUGAUGAUGGGUGUGCGGCUGAUUAGAUAGUUGGCGGGUAACGGCCCACCAAGUCUACGAUCAGUAGCUGAUGUGAGAGCAUGAUCAGCCACACGGGCACUGAGACACGGGCCCGACUCCUACGGGGAGGCAGCAGUAAGGAAUAUUGGACAA
rnacentral:rRNA from 1 species